rnacentral:rRNA from 1 species
AUUGAACGCCGGCGGCAGGCUUAACACAUGCAAGUCGAGCGGGGAAGGUUGCUUCGGUAACUGACCUAGCGGCGGACGGGUGAGUAAUGCUUAGGAAUCUGCCUAUUAGUGGGGGACAACAUUCCGAAAGGAAUGCUAAUACCGCAUACGUCCUACGGGGGAAAGCAGGGGAUCUUCGGACCUUGCGCUAAUAGAUGAGCCUAAGUCGGAUUAGCUAGUUGGUGGGGUAAAGGCCUACCAAGGCGACGAUCUGUAGCGGGUCUGAGAGGAUGAUCCGCCACACUGGGACAGAGAAACGGCCCGUCCUCCUACGGGAGGCAGCAGUGGGGAAUAUUGGACAAUGGGCGGAAGCCUGAUCCAGCCAUGCCGCGUGUGUGAAGAAGGACUUUUGGUUGUAAAGCACUUUAAGCGAGGAGGAGGCUCCUUUAGUUAAUACCUAAAGUGAGUGGACGUUACUCGCAGAAUAAGCACCGGCUAACUCUGUGCCAGCCGCCGCGGUAAAAC